CGUCCAUGGUCCUUUCUUCAUCCCUCUCACCUUCGUCUCCGUUACCCUCGUCUCUCCACCACCGUCCAUUUCUUAUGGAAGACGGAGACCCUCCGAUCAAGGAGGAAACAGAGGAGAUAUAUAGAGAAAGGAAGUAAGGGUGAACUUUCAUUUUGAGAAUGUUUGGUGUAUAUUUGGAGAGAAAAGACAGAGGAUUCAAGAAAUUACACAAGGAGUUGAGAGAAAGAUAGGAUAAGUACUCUCUGUCUUUGACCAAUUGGAGAUAAAACAAAAAUAAGAUGUGAUGUGGUAAUGAUGAGAAGUUCUUUUUAAGAAAAAAAUCUAUAUCACCUCUUAGUGUCUCGAUCUUAAAUGUUUAUAAGUCGCUCUCUAUAAACAAUGAAUGUUAAUUUAUCCAUAUUAGGUAGUCAAAGCCAUUAAUUUAAUGUGAACAAAGAAUCGAAUGGAAAAUUACUAGUUACAACCAUUAAUAAACUCUUAUGAAACAAUAGACAAACACUCGAAUUAAGUAGUAACCAUGGUAGAAACAUUAAUUAAAAUGAUAAAAUGUAAUAUUUUUUUUUUGAUAUGUAAUAUAAUUAAAUAAAUAAAAAGGAGAGGAGUGAGCUUCUUUCACGGCCGCGCAUUGCAUGCCUUAUGGAAUGGGACGUUCUCUUCAAAGACCCGAUUUUCUCUUAUUUUACUUCUUCUCUUGCUCCUUUUCUUUUUCUCCCACGCAUUUUCUGUCUUUUUCUCGUUUUUUAAAUGUCCAAAACAAAUAAUGUAAUGAUUUAUUAUUAUAUUUUCCUUGGGAUAGAGGAUAAUAAAGAUAAUUCAAAGGUUAUUUAUGCGAUAUUUCAUGCAAAAUUACGCUGGCAUGAUCAAAUUUCAUAUGGGCAAAUUUUUAUCAUAGGAGUUUGAGUCUUAUAAGCAAAUACUUCUUUUUUAGAGAAAAAAUGCCCCUAAGGUGUCAAAUUUUAUUAGAACACUCUUCUUUAAAGAUUCUCAACUUUUCAUUAAAGCUCUAUUAAGAGUUAUUGAUGAUAUGUUCAACAGAUAAGUUUGAAGCAAUUUAUAUCCCUUAACAAAAAGAAGAAAAAGUAAUAAAAAUAUUUUAAUUAUUUUUUUCCGUUUAUUUUGUCGUAUAUAAAUAAUUCACGAGUUACACGACUUUUUUUGUUUUAUAAAAAUAAAUGUAGUCAACAUUGAUUUCUCUUGUUUUGAGUUUCGGUAUAAUUUUAAUAUUACUCAUUUUAGCUAUAAAUAUACAUACCUAUUUUGUUUAGUUACACGUGUUUCUUUACGUUAUUUUUUAAAAACAUACGUUACUUUAAAAAAAAAUAUAAAAUUAAUUAGCAUUAAACACAAUUAUUUAAUUAUAUUUAUAAAUAUUUAAAUUUAAAAAGAGCUAGCUAAAAUAUAUAAUGUUAUUGUUAUAACGUUUAGCUCGAGAAUAUAUACACAUAAUAAUUAGUAUCAUUUACCCGUGUUUUUAAUUUAUAUUAAAAUAUAAAUUAGGUAUAAUUAAGCACAUUUUAACUAAUUUUAUUAAUAAAUUAUUUAAAUAUCUCAAUACUAUUAUUUGAAAAGUCAGUUUCCUACGUGUCGGUUUCACAUUAACUUUCACAAUGGCUGAUUACAAUUAUACCCUUAAUGAAUCAAAUAUUAAAUAUAUCUAAUUGCUUUACUAAAAAUAUUUUAUUUUUCCAUUUUAUUUAUUGUUCUUUUUCUUAAUAAAUUAAAGAAUAUUCAUAAUAUUUUAACACGAAAUAUAAUUUAAAUAUAAUAUAAUUCAUAAAAAAGAAAAAAAUUACAAAAUAAUAUUUUAUUUCAAAGUAAAGAAAUAAUCUUCCAUUAAAAAGAUAAGCUUGAAAAAUAAUAUAUUUUAAAGUAAUAAGCAUUUUAUUUUAAACCAAUUUAUUUUUAUGAUUAUUUGCAAAAAUUGUUUAAAUAAAAGAAAAUAAGAUAUUUAAUAAAUAAUCAAUAUUAUUAUUUUUAUGUUGACUUAAAUUUCAUUUUUAUAUUUUUGAAAUAAUUUUUAUAAGAAAAUAUAUUAAUAAAUUUUAAAAUUAAAAUAUUUUUAUAUACAAUUUAAUUUCAUAAAAAUACGAAAAAAUCUUGGCAUUAAAGUAAAAAAAUAAUUUUCUCUUUUAAAAUUUAUAAGUUAUGUUUAAUGGUACUUUGUACCAAUCAUCAUUUUUUUUUCUAAUUUUAAUUUUUCAAAUUAACAUAUACCAAAUUGUUUUAAAAAUCUAAAGUUUAUUUACACAUCUAAAAUGAAGAGGCAGACUAAUACAUAGAAUACAAUUGAUUCAAUUUGGUUGAAUUUGAUUAAAAAUAGUUGUACUUUAAUUUGAAAAAUUAUAU